GCCUGGGUGGCUCAGUUGGUUGAGCGUCCGACUUUGGCUCAGGUCAUGAUCUCAUGGUUCACGGGUUCAAGCCCUGUGUUGGGCU
rnacentral:tRNA from 1 species